GCUAGGAUGAACGCUGGCGGCGUGCCUAACACAUGCAAGUCGAACGGGGUGUCUGAUCUUCGGACUGGACACUUAGUGGCGGACGGGUGAGUAACGCGUGGGUAACCUGCCUCAUACAGGGGGAUAGCAGUUGGAAACGACUGAUAAUACCGCAUAAGCGCACAGUACCGCAUGGUACAGUGUGAAAAAACUCCGGUGGUAUGAGAUGGACCCGCGUCUGAUUAGCUUGUUGGCGGGUAACGGCCCACCAAGGCGACGAUCAGUAGCCGGCCUGAGAGGGUGAACGGCCACAUUGGGACUGAGACACGGCCCAAACUCCUACGGGAGGCAGCAGUGGGGAAUAUUGCACAAUGGGGGAAACCCUGAUGCAAGCGACGCCGCGUGAAGGAUGAAGUAUUUCGGUAUGUAAACUUCUAUCAGCAGGGAAGAUGAUGACGGUACCUGACUAAGAAGCCCCGGCUAACUACGUGCCAGCCGCGGC
rnacentral:rRNA from 1 species